rnacentral:rRNA from 1 species
UACGUAGGGGGCGAGCGUUAUUCGGAAUUACUGGGUGUAAAGGGUAUGUAGGCGGUCUCGCGAGUCGCACGUCAAAGUCCAGCGCUCAACGCUGGGUUCGCGCGCGAUACUGUGGGACUAGAGGGCUGGAGAGGUGAGCGGAAUUCCCGGUGUAGUGGUAAAAUACGUAGAUAUCGGGAGGAACACCAGCGGCGUAGGCGGCUCACUAGACAGUUUCUGACGCUAAGAUACGAAAGCGUGGGGAGCAAACAGGAUUAGAAACCCCAGUAGUCC